rnacentral:lncRNA from 1 species
ACUUUAUUAAUUACAUUUCAAAAUUUAUAACAUGAUAUAUUGUUGGGAAAAUGAACUUAUAUUCAUGUAUUUUUUUUUUAAAAUAUAUAGGUGUUACUUCGAUAACAAUUGAUGACAAAACCGGGAAAAUGACUGUAGUUGGUGAAGUUGAUGUACCGGUUAUUGUGAUGAAGCUAAGGAAGCUAUGUAACACAGAGAUUGUUUCGGUUGAAGUUGUUAAACCACCUGAGAAAAAGCCUGAACCGGAGAAACCGGCUCCACUUAAACCAGCUCCAGCUCCAGCUAAACCGGGUGAAAUUGUUGCCUGGCCGGUUCAGAUGAACAACCCUUACCAAUACCAUCCUGCCUAUGCAAAUUCUUACUAUCAACCAUACGGAAAUUCUAGAUUUGUAACGGACGAAUCAAAUUGUGUGAUUAUGUGAUUUUUAUAGAGUUAUUUCAAAUAAUGUUAAGUUAGUUUUAAUGGAAGAAUGUAAUUUUUUGAGCUACUGUAAUAUACAUUUCUCGUAUGAGCUUAUUCGGAAAAAAAUUAAGUUACUGUGUGAUAAAAUUGAUCUUUAUACGUUAUGUUAACUUUUACUUUUAAUCAUCUUGUAAUAUUUGAUCUUUUUUCCUAUAGAGAAUAUUCUCUAUACUUUGUCUUUUGCUAGUAUUCUGAUCAAUUGGAUACAAAAAUAUAACACACACACAUAGUUAAGUCGCUCUCAACUCAUUUAUGAAUAUCAAGAAUCAAGAUCGUUCACGUAAUACAUUCGAUUGUCCAAAACUAAAAUAAUUUUGAAACAAUUAUUGAAGAAUGAGAUGUUAGUAAAGAUGUGAUGGAGAGAGUCAAGAUCGGAAAGUCUCCUUUAACAAAACAAAUAAAAAAUAAAAAAAAUCCCUAGAAGAUUCCUACGUGUGGGGGAUCCACAUGUAAAUUGAGGUUUCGAGGAGAUUUCCUUUCUUGACUAUGAAAUGGCAGUAUUAUUCAAGUCUUCUUAUCAUUUUGCUAAUAAUAUGAAUCGCAUGAAACAAUUCAAAAAGUUAAAAUUUUGGAUUCAUGCAUGCAUAAUGCAUUCAUUUGAUUUUGAGAUCUAACAAAACUCUUGUGUCAGAUUAAGUCAUAACUUCUAAAAUUUUAGUUUAAAUCAUGUGUUAUUUAUUCAAUAAAAUACAAGUUAAAAAUUUUGUGUUAUUCUAUUAAUAUUUUAAAUUACAAGGUAGAAAUUAUGAUUUUUUCUGAGAAUUUUUUUUUUUUUUUUUUUUUUUGCACAACAAAGAUUUGUGGGUAUGAAAUGUGCUAUACUAGUAUGAUGCAGGUAGCACAAUUCGAGGAGUCUUGUUUGUCUAAGAGUAAAGUUAUAAAUCGAGAGCAUGGUGCAAAGAAAACCAUUUUACCGUGGUGUGAAUAUAAUUGUUUGUUGAAAAAUCGUAUGUAGAAUCGCUCGCCAUAAAAAAUUGCAUAAAUGAAUUGAUAGUCAUGAUCAUGAAUGUUGUUGAUCAAUUAUAAUUUGGAUAAAAAAGGUUAAAGUUUCUUCAAAUUAUAGUGUAUCAGAAAAACAAAAGAAACGUGUGGGGUAUAUUAGAAUAAAAGGUAUUUAGUAAUUUUUUUAUAUAUUUAAUGAGAUUAAACACGUCUACUUUCUAUAUUUUAUACACUAGCGCAUUAAUCAAAAAUAGAAAAUUUGACAUAGUAGGAGAGUCAGCUUUUAGUCUAAAAUUUGGAGAAAUGAAUAUACUAAGGGAAUAUACUCAUCUCUCCCUAUAAUACUCAUCUAUAGCAAAAUGGAGAGAGUAUAAAUUAAGAUAAAGAUUCACAUACAUUGUUUCCGAAUUGUUAUUAUUUUCUUAAAAUUUGAACAAUUUCUCGAUUAGUGUGUCGUCCUUAUGCUAAUCUUCUUUGUAUUGUUCCAAAUUUUAUCAAAUAUUCCCGGUAACAGAAAUUUAACCUCAAGAAACAAACAUGUGAUCUAAUUUACACAAAUAUUCGUUUCCAUCACAAACACAAAACCUAGAGAUCACAAACUACUACUUGUUACCUUUUUGUUGUUGUUGUUAAAGAUCUUGCUACUUAUUACUUUCUUCUUGACUGCCUCGAUGAUCUCGGGAUUUAAACUUUUCUUUUGGCAGCUUCGAAUUAUUUUCGUGUGGCUCUGAGUAGGCAUUGCUAUAUGAUAACUAGAGAGAACAACGAUAACAUUUGAUCAAACUUAUCUUUCCUCUCAUCUCUUUAUAACAUCUUUAAAAAUUAUUAAAGAACAAUUGUGACUUAAAUCUCGGUUUGAUUUCGAUUUUAUCUAUUGGUUUUGGUAUGAUUCAACUUUUCCAAGAACACACUGUAGAGAACUUUCCUGAGAAUUGCUUAUGUGACCAAAGAGUCAAUAGGGUCAACAGAUGGUCCGGGUCGACCCGGUCGUACACGCGGCAUUCUGAAUGUUAACCAAAAUAAUAUAGAAUGACUACUUUACUCUUUAGUCUUUUAUAACAACUUUUUGGGGUCAUACUCGCAAAUUCCUACGCAAUUUCUAUAUAAAUAGAUAUCAUAAGACUUGCAAUAUGUCAUCAAGAAGCUUCGAUAUCUCAAUCUAUCUCUACUCUUUCUCUCUUUAAAAAAAAAACAAAAUAUCCAAAAUUUCUGGAGUAGUUUCUCGAGCCAUGACGACCGCGAAGGUACGCAUUUCAUUUUAUCAUCCUUAGACUAUGCGUUAAUUAAUCGUUAUAUACUAUUCUAACUAUAAAAUUAUCAUUUUUUACAUUGAAACUAUGCAAUUAUCCAUACUGAUUUCUCAUUUGCAAUAACAGAAAGUUGUGUUGCAAUUAAGCAUUCACGAGGAGAAAAUCAGGAAGAAAGCGCUUGUCACCGUUUCUCGAUUUUCAGGUAUCUAUUAUGAAAUUUCUAUUAGAAAUUUUUAAUAUGAUAUAUAAGGAAAAUAAACUUGUAUUAAUGAUUUUUUUUCUUUAUAUAUAUAGGGGUUACUUCGAUAACAAUAGAUGACAAAAGUGGGAAAAUGACGGUAGUUGGAGAAGUUGAUGUACCAGUUAUCGUGAUCAAGCUGAGGAAGCUAUGUCACACAGAUAUCGUUUCGGUAGAUGAUGUUAAACCACCUGAGAAAAAGCCUGAACCGGAGAAACCAGCUCUACCUAUACCGGCUGAAUUUAUUACAUAUCCGAUGAACUACGCGUACCAAUAUAAUCCUCAUGCCUAUGCAAAUUCUUACUAUUAUCAACCAUACGGGAAUUGUAGAGUAGUAGACGAACCAAAUUGUGUGAUUAUGUGAUUUUUCUAGAGUGUAAUAUUAAGUUAUUAAACACUUAUAAUUUUGAUGGAAAAGUGUAAUUUUCUUAGAUACUGUAAUAUACAUCUCUCGUAUGAGCUUAUUGGGAGAAAUAAUUCAAUUUAUGUAUUACAAAAAGAAUCUUAAUACGCUUUAUCAACUUUUACGUUUAAUCAUAUAUAGUAGUAAUUAGUUUUUAUUGUUUUCCAUUAUGGUUUCAUUUACGUAGACUUGUUGAAUAUAUUCUAUAUAUUGUCUCAAGUUAGAAUACUAAUCAAUAUGUAGCGAGGGAUUGGUAAUUGGUGGAAUGGGAUCAUAAUUUGGAUACAAAUUAGAUAUAUAUAUUAUCUAACACAUAGUUAAGUCGCUCUCAAUUUUUUUUGACUCAUGAACAUCAAGAAUCAAGAUCGUUCACGUAACACAUGAUUGUCCAAAAUAAAAAGUAAUUUUGGACUAUUAGCGAGUGAGAGAAUAAUGAAAAAGAAAAAAAAAAAAAAAAAGAAAGAAAAAGAGAUGGAGAGAGUCAAGAUCCGAAAAGUCUUCUAUAACAAAACGAAACAAUAAUAAAAGACUAAGCAAAAGUCUAGCGUGACUUGGAGGGUCGACAUGUGGAUUGAUGCUUACGAGUAUAUUUCGUUUCUUGAGUUUGAAACGAAGAAUUAUUCAAAUCUUCUUACCAAAACAACUUUAAUAUGAAUCGCCAAAAAUCUUAAAACUUUAGAUUUAUGAAUUGUGUUGAUUGCAAAAUUAAUACAAAUCUUGUAUUAUUUAAUUGAUGUUAUUUACACAAUAAAUUUAGAUAAAAAACAAAAUUUGGGGUACUCUAUUAAUAAUUUCGAAAUAUAAACCAAAAACAUAAAUUUGGCCAAAAAAAAAAAACAUAAACAUAAACAAAAAAUAGGCUGUUUUACUUUUAGGUGAUUUGUUUAUUGGAUUGUUAACUUUUUCUAAUCUUUUUUUUUUUUGCUACACUAGUUCUUUAAUAUUUGUCAAAAUGUUGUGUUAUAUUGUUUGAUUAACUAAAUUCUAAAUCCUGGCUCAAGUAAUGAAAAUUAUUAAAAGAGUUCGUUGGUUUUAUGUCCACUUGGAUUUUUUCAAUAAAAUUAUAUGUCAAAAUCCAUAUGGCUUUAAGAAUAUAUUUUUUUUUUCUUGGUCAAAUAUGGCUUUAAGAAUAUGUAUUAAAUCAUUUAUUGGAUUGUAUAUUUAGAUGAAUUUUGAAACUAAGCAUCAUCUUGUGUUAUUCAACUAUUUAUGAUACAAUCUUUGUCAAAAUAUUAUGUUAACUAGAUUUUAACCCGCAGUGUACGAUUUGUUUUUAAAAUUAGUGAUUUUUAAAAUUUAAUGGGGAUAUAUUAUAUAAAAAAAAUUGCAAAUUAUAUCAUUUUAUAAAAAAAAUUAUAUUUUAUAGUUUCCAAUUAUUAUUAAGUAAUGCUAUACCACAAGACAAUUUUUUUUAAUACAAUUUACUUUAGUCAGGAUCAUUCGAUAUGUCUAAUAUUUGUGGUGUUAAAAAGUAAUAAAAUGAAGAUUUAACUAUAUUGAAUCAGCGGGUUAAUGAUGUUUAAAAAUUUUUUGAUUUAAAUUUGUCUCUUCAUAUAACCCCGUCUUUCAAUAUAACCCCGUUCUGCAAUAUAACCUUGUCUUGCAAUAUAACCGUCUCAUGUUAUUUUAACUCCUUAUAUAUGUUCAAAUAUUCUUAUAUUAUAAACUUUGUACUAAUAUAUGAAUUAUAAUAUUUAAAACUUCUUAAAAACUUGUCCCGUUAUAUAACUUUGUCUACCAAUAUAAUCUGUCUCGUGUUAUUGUAACUCUUUAUAUAUGUUCGAAUGUUCAUAAUAUUAUAAUUUUUUUAUUGAUUUUAAAUAUAUGAAUUAUAUUAUUUAAAACUUUUUAAAAGUUUAAAAUUUAACAUUUCUGGUAAAAUUAAGCAGUUAAACUAAAAAACCGAAUGAAACGGUAUAUGAUUUUAAAUUUGGAUGCUUAUUAAGUUGAGCUUCAUGUUCAUUCGGAUUUGGAUUCAUUUUGAUCUUAUUUAUAAUAUGAUUCUGAAUCAAUAUCUAAACAUUUUAGCCGAUAUGGGACGUUGAACACACACCUUUUUCAUCAAUUAGGUAAUAUAUACCCGUUUUAAAAUUUUUGAAUCCCAAUAUAUGCAAAAAACAAAUUGAGAUUUUUUUAACUUUAUGUAUUAUACGACGAUUCAAAAUAGUUAAAAAAUAUUCAAACAAAGAUGAUAGGAGAAUUGUAUUUCUAAAUCCUAACCAAAUCUUCUAAAUAUCUAUAUUUUUAAAAUGGAAUAUCCGGUUCAUAAUUUCGGAUAUGUUUUGAUCCGAUCCAAAAAGAAUAUGAACUAUCCGGUGUAAAAUUUAUGAAAUCAAUUUCUUAUCGGGUCGGAUAUCAAAUUUGUCGGAUAAUAAUUUAACCCACCCGCUAAAAAUGUACUUCAAAAAUACUAGUAUAGAUUCAACAAUUUAUGAUAUGUGAAUCUUAGCUAAAGUUGUAUCUUAGUGGAUUAUAUUAAUAUCGCCGUUUGUGCCUGCGCACGGAUUCCCACUAUGCAUAUAAAUCAUAUAAAACGUGAAUUUGAAAAUGUAUUUUCUGAAGCAAGUCCUACUUGUCCCAAUCCAGCAACCACAAUUCAGAGUUGUGCUGAUUCUAGUAUGGUUUCCAUUACAAUGGAAAACAGUUAAGCUUCAGUGACAUGUCUCUGAUAAUUCCUAUAGAGCCCAUAAUCGCUAUACACUUGACUUUGAGGGUUUCCUGUCUGCACUUCCCUCCUUCAUGGAGAUAUAUUUGAUGGAACAUUCCUCCUUUAUGGAGAGACCACUUACUAUCUCGUCCUCUUUGAGUUAGCUAAACUCUUCCGUUAUGUAACCACUUGAUCUUCUAAUGGAAACAAAGCUUUUGCAUAGGAAAAAAGAAAAAAAGGACCAAAAAACUGAACCUAGAUCAUUCAUACAAACCACUCGUUGUCCUCGGCAUCUCUUUCAACUUUCCUCUGGACAGCUUCGAAUUCUUCUUCGUUUGACUCUUAGUCAACAUUGCUACCAUAGGUAUAUAGAGACAAGCGACAAGAACACUGAAUCCUUCUCUUUCCCGCAUCUCUUCAACAUCUUUAAGAGAUUAAAAAAGAACCGUUAUGACUUCUAUCUCGGUUUGAUUUUGAUUUCAGCUUUUGUUUCUAUGUGAUUGAUCAACUUUUCCAACACUCUGGAUAACUUGCUUGAGAAGUUCUUACGUGACCAAUGAAUCUAAAUACUGCACUUCCUUUUGAUUUCGUUACACCACAAUUAUAUUUUCAACCAACUCGGGAAAAUUAUUACUCAAAACAAAUUAAUAGACAUUUACUACUCUAAUCGUUUACUACUCUAAUGCUAUUGAUAUGUAAAAAUACAAAAUGCUUGUGGAUCAUAUAUCUAAUAAAUCAGUGCAAAUUUCUACGUUAAUUUAUAUUUAAACAGAUAUCAUUUGACGCAAUUGUCAUCAAGAAGUGUUAGGAGAUCUCAGAGAUUACAAGAUCGAAUUAAACAUAUUUCCAUAUUGUUAUUAGAAAAGUUAACAUUUGUGUAAUAUUGCCUUAUUGUUAAAUAGGUAGGUUUCUUAUAAUCAUAUAUGUCAAAACUUGCUAAUCAAGUUAUAACUUUGUAUAAAUAUGUAUAUUGAAUAGAAAAAAAAAAAAUGUAUAUUGAAUAACUUUGGGGCUAAUCACUUCUUCGGUAUCUCAAUUCAUCCCUCUCUUUGAAGUUUUCUUGAGCCAUGGCCGCGAAGGUACCCACCUUUAUCUCGUUUUAGCUCUCUUUAAAUAACUAUGCGUUGAUUAAUCAUUUAUAUAUAUAUGUACUAUUUAACUAUUGUUAUAGUAAGUCGAUUGAAACUAUGCAAUUAGCCAUAGUAAUCUCUUGUUUGAAAUGGCAGAAAGCUGUGUUGCAAUUGAUUAUUGACAAUGAGAAAAUCAGGACGAAAGUGUUUGUGACCGUUGCUGGAUUUACAGGUAUCUUUGUAAGUUACUUUUCUAAAUUUGUAGAAUGAUAUUGUGGGAGGGGAAAUAAAUUUUUAUUCAUGAAAUAUUUUUCUAAUAUAGGUGUUACUUCGAUAACUAUGGAUGACAAAACCGGGAAACUGACGGUAGUGGGAGAAAUUGAUGUGCCAAUUAUCGUGAUGAAGCUAAGGAAGCUAUGUAACACAGAGAUUGUUUCUGUUGAAGUAGUUAAACCACCUGAGAAAAAGCCUGAACCGGAGAAACCGGCUCCACCUAAACCAGCUCCACCU